ensembl:lncRNA
GUAAGUCAAUGUCACAACUGUCGACAAAGAAGUUUCAAACUAUACCUAUGAACCUCUCCUUCACUCCACCCCAAUGGGAACUCUGAUUUUUCACUGUCUUACACCCUCAACCUCCCCCCUCUACCAGCAUUGCUAGUAGAAACAGCACUCCAAAGGUACCGACCCAGAAUGACUUAUUUUUCCUGGAUUUGAAUGGCUCCAAACACUUCGCUCUGUGCUCAUAAACACAAAACACACUGGAUGGUUCAAGUACUUCAUGCAGGCUCUCACCUGCUCAUGUGGCAAGCUCUCCACGCUGUGAAUGACUUAUUUCCUUCUUAUCAUCUGUCAAGAGGAAGGGAACUUUGGAAGGCAAUGGAGAGGGGCCCAGAGUGGAGGGAGCUGGCCUAGGAAAUGCAAGCACGAGGAGAACAUUCUAGUCCUGGUCCAGGGCAGACAGAGGGCAGCACCAGGGGCCCAGCUUUCUGAGCUAAGGGCCAUGGAGAGAGGAGCACGAGGAGGAAGACAGGGUCUGAGGACAAGUGACCCUGCAUUGUGUCCUUUCUCAGGCCUGGCACCUGGUCCUGGUUGCCAAUUCACCCAUGGUGUUCCCAUUAGUCCUCAUGGGCAUGCUUAUGGGCUAAUAUAGCCCUCGAAAUCACCUUCUGGCAUUGAAAAUUCUGCCUUGGGGCUUCUAAAGCACUGGAAAGUCUGCAGGGACCCCUCUCCUCCAGGCCAGUUGAAUCGAUUCCCUGGAUCUUUAGAGGAAUAAGAAACGCACCCUGACAGUAAUUCCCUGCAUUGGGUACACCAGCGCUGCACUCGGCAAUUGAAUGUUACGUGUGGAUUUUAGUUUAUAUUAUUUAAAACAUACACAUCCGUACCUAUCAGAAUGUCCUUCUUUUCACUGUUAGUUGCAAAGGUGAUACGUGUUAAAGGUGACCUGUGUUAUGGCAAUGAAACCACAAAUACAGUUCAGCAUGAUGGCGUUGUGGUGUGGUGCCAGCGCACUGAUACGAGUGCCAGAAGCCUUGCUCCUUAGCUUUGUGACCUCGUGCCUGGCUGGAUUGUACAAAAACUUAAAUCCAAAUAUCAAAUUCCUCUUAUUCUUAGCAUAUUCUCUUAAGAUAUUCUUCUCUGUGGAAGCAGAAAUUUUCUCGGAGUUUUCUGGUAACAUUUUUUUUUUUUUGCAACUUCCAAUUUGACUUGAGACAAAAAUUUAUGAUCUUAUAGAAACAAAGAAACCAUCUUUAGGAAGAAUACACUUGCCCGUGGCUUCACCAAAACUUCGAAGAAAGAUACUGCCCAAGUACAAAACAUGGCCGGAGUGCCUCCUCCCUUUCCCACUGCUGGAGCUGCACAUUGGCCUCGGGGGCUGAUGUGGCUGCGGAGGCAAGAGCUCAUGUCGUCCCUCACACUCGUGAGUCCUUGGAGAGCUGGGGCUCAGCCACACACGAUGACCUACAGACGCUGGAAUACUGGCCCCAUUGUUUGUGUACACGAGUGACUCUGCACAGUCCUCUGCUAGAACUUUCUACAGUAUAUCAGAGUAAAACAAAAUAAGUAAACUGGGCGUUUCAUAUUAAAAUGGUUAGUAAGCAUUUGAGAAGUUGUGUUCAUAUACUGCUAAGUGGGAAUGAAAGGUUACAAAACAGUGUGUGCCAUACAAUUCUGUUUUUAUUUAAAAAUACACAAAGAAGAAAAGACUAGCAGGAGAUAAAGCAAAAUGUUCAUAACAGCUUUGUCUUGCGUCAUUACAAUGAUAUAAGAAUGACACAAAAAUUCUCAUUCAUUUCCUUUAUAUCCUUCCAGUGUUUCUUUAUGAAAAUAAAUGGAAAUACAA